GUGGCUGUAGCUCAGUUGGUAGAGCCCUGGAUUGUGGUUCCAGUUGUCGUGGGUUCGAGACCCAUCAGCCACCCCA
rnacentral:tRNA from 1 species